rnacentral:rRNA from 1 species
AACGAACGCUGGCGGCAUGCCUAACACAUGCAAGUCGAACGAGAUCUUCGGGUCUAGUGGCGCACGGGUGCGUAACGCGUGGGAAUCUGCCCUUCGGUUCGGAAUAACUCAGGGAAGCUUGAGCUAAUACCGGAUGAUGUCUUCGGACCAAAGAUUUAUCGCCGAGGGAUGAGCCCGCGUAGGAUUAGGUAGUUGGUGGGGUAAUGGCCCACCAAGCCGACGAUCCUUAGCUGGUCUGAGAGGAUGAUCAGCCACACUGGGACUGAGACACGGCCCAGACUCCUACGGGAGGCAGCAGUGGGGAAUAUUGGACAAUGGGCGAAAGCCUGAUCCAGCAAUGCCGCGUGAGUGAUGAAGGCCUUAGGGUUGUAAAGCUCUUUUACCAGGGAUGAUAAUGACAGUACCUGGAGAAUAAGCUCCGGCUAACUCCGUGCCAGCCGCCGCGGUAA